rnacentral:lncRNA from 1 species
CAUGGCAGCACACAGAGACUGCGCAGUCACCCUGCCAGGAAAGGGCGACCGGGACCUCUUGGGUCCCCAGCCCCAAAGUCAGAGGCUCACACGCUGGGAGCCAGGUCGGCCCCUCGGCCCUCCCCACCCCGCCACCUUCCCAUCCCCUACAGAGCCAGCUGGGACCCCCAGGGAGCUCCAGAAACAUCGGCCGGAUUGCAACGUGGGCCACCCAGAACCGGACACCAGCCCUCAGAGCGGUCAGGCGUGGGGCCCAGGAGGUCGCUGGACACAGGACCUGGAGAUGGAGCGUGGUGACGGCUGCCCACCAGGCAAGCCCGUCCUCCAGCAAAAAGAUUCCGGCUUUGCCGAAGGCUCUGAUGAUGGUUAACACCUUUUAGCCAUAAAGUAUUUUUAAAUGAAAGGAUGCACAUUGUUUUUAUAGACAUAAGGCCGUUGCACACUGAAUAGCCUACAGUGGAGUGCAAACAUGACUUUUUUCUUUUCUUUUUUUCUUUUGAGGAAGAUUAGCCCUGAGCUGACAUCCGCCCCCAAUCCUCCUCUUUUUUGCUGAGGAAGACUGGCCCUGAGCUCACAUCCGUGCCCAUCUUCCUCUACUUUAUAUGUGGGACGCCCGCCACAGCAUGGCGUGCCAAGCAGUGCCAUGUCCACACCCGGGACCCGAACCGGCGAACCCCGGGCCGCCAAAGCAGAAUGUGUGCACUUAACCACUGCGCCACCGGGUGGCCCCUGAACGUUGCUUUUCUACGCGCUGGGAAACCCGAGAAAUCGUGAGACCCGCUUUAUUGCGACCUUGGCUUUAUUGUGCAGUCUGGAACCGAACCCACGGUGCCUGUACCACCUCCGGGUGAUACAUAGCAGGGAAUGCAGCAGACUUUUCCUCAAAGGAAAGAGAUUUCCAGAAGGGAGUCAGAAACUUUCAUUCGUUCAUUCACUCAUUCAUUCCUACAGUUACCGUCUUCCCUGAACCCCCAGGCUUUGCAGGGUGGGUGGAGCAAUGGCCCAGACCCUGGAGCCGGCUUGGGGCAAAGCAGAAACAGCAAGAAGACCUGCGAUGGGGCGACCUGUGGACUGCAGUGUGCCCCUGCCUGCGUGGGGACAGGUCAAGGGGCCAUCGAGGAGUAGGCGUGUCACCUGUUGCCAGGUGCCAGGUGCCCGUGGCGGGAAGCCCCUCGUGCACAUCCCUGCCCAUCUAGUGCUGGCGACAACUCCGGGAGGCGGGUGCUAUGGGAACCGCCAUCCUUCAGACGACAGAAACCAGGUCGCCACAGGGCCCUGCCCGCCCAGCAUCACAGGCGGCACCCGACACGCAUCAGCUGUGAUUGUUGGAGCGUGGGUGCUCUUUAUUUAUUACAGGACCCUCCGGCAGUGUCAGGGCACGGAGAGUGUGCAGCCAAGGAACCCGACAAGCUGGCUGCAGAUUUACGAAGUGGUGCCAGCUCCCGGAGAACAUCGUCCGUCUCAGAAACGACUUCCUCAUCGUUCCUCAGAGACUCGAAGCAAUUAUUCUGUUUUCUUACCAUUUUGGAUGCAUUUGAGUCAUGAAAAUAACACCGGACAUGAAAAUGCAACAGGACCCAAGAGCAGCUGUCUCUCCGCCCUUUCGAAAUGAGCCACUGGCCCUUGGCUUUAUUCUAAGUUAUCCUGAUUCCCUCAGACUUCACCUACGAGGAGGGCAAUCUGGUCUUGUUACUUCCAGAAACUCACUAGUAUUGUCUCUUGUCUGAUUCCAGCAUUUUCACGUGCAAAAGAGAACGGCCAGCCCAAGGUGUGGUCUGCUUUUUCUUUCUUUCUUUUUUUGUUUUGAGGAAGAUUGGCCCUGAGCUAACAUCUGCCACCAAUCCUCCUCUUUUUUUUUUUUUUUUUUUUGCUGAGGAAGACUGGCCCUGAGUUAACAUCCAUGCCCAUCUACUUUAUAUGUGGAACGCCUACCACAGCAUGGCGUGCCAAGUGGUGCCAUGUCCACACCCAGGACCCAAACCGGCAAACCUGGGGCUGCUGCUCUUUCUGACUUUGAAGACGUUGGAGGAGGAGCUCUUCCGACAUCAGCACAUCCUCCUUGCUCCCUCGGGAAUCCCAAUCUUUCUCUAAAUGAGUUUGUAGAAGAAAAGGCAUUUUGUACGAAAGCCGUGAUUUCUUGCCCCGCCCGCUUUGCCGUAUGUUCGAGACCAUUUAGAAAACAGAAACUCAACUCGAGUAAAAGCACAGAGGUGUCGCCCUCCCUGGAGCCCCUGCCCCCCUCCCCCCAGGGGCGUCGGAUCCUUCCGGAGACAUUCGAGCAUCUGCACGACCAGGUUCACAUAUUGUGUCCCUUUUGGACCGCGGUUUCUAUAAAGGGUGGCUCACGACGUACACGGCCUCAGAUUGCCCCCCAGCUCAGAACACAGAGGGCCCCCUCGUUCGUUGUGUGCCCCCCCCAAACUGUGGGUGGACACUGGCUGUUUCUGUUCUUGGGCUCAGCAAGCUCUCCGGCUGCUGUGUCUUGAUAUACCUGUGACCUCGUGAAGGCCCAGGCCGGAUGUUCCGACAGCUGGUUCAGAUUCACCAUUCGCCUUUUCAAAAAUUUUUAUUUUCAGUUACUUGAUUACUUGGAACUUCAUCCAUGUGGCAAGCAGCCUUGUCUUGUGCCGUGGACUUUUGCAGACAGAUCUGGCUUCAAAUCUCGAUUCUGUUACUUAGAAGCUGUGUGACCUUGUGCAAGUUACUUAACCUCUCUGUGUCUCCAUGAGCAAGUUACUUAACUUCUCCGUGCCUCGGUCUCCUCCCCAACUUAAAGGGGGGUGAUGAUGAUGACAGCCCCCAUACCGUGGGCUCCUGAGGAGGACUAAAUGAGUCCAAAAGGUGGCCUUUUCUUGGAACGGUUCCCAGCAUACGUUUCCAUCAUUUCAUGCAUCCAGACCUACAAGGGGAUCCGAGGCAGCGAGCAUUUGCAAGAAAUGUUUCCCAGACUGGAAACACUGAAUCUCCGUGCGCAUCUCUUCUUUCCUUCCUCUUCCCGCGUCCUCCUGCCAACAUUUGCUGAGGGCUCCUGGAUCGGCUAGACACCCGGUAGGACAGGCCAGCGCCCCCGCCUGCUCAGGCGGCCUGUUUGGGGCCAGGGACAUUUCUGCAAAUCCUGGGGCCUGCGCUGGGGGAGGUAAGCGCCUGACUUUGAGAUGCUGAGAUCCGGGGCUCACAGUGGAGCCGGGAGGGAGGUUGAGGUGGGAGUCGGCGAGGGGACACUGCGUGAUGCCCGACGGCCGGGCUCCUGCUGACACCUAGUGGAAGGACGGAAUUCGCAUCCUUUUCAGCCAGGGUGCCUCUGCGAGAUUGAGGUCUCCCCCAGAACAUCUACGAGAUGUCGCGCAGACAGACCCGGGCCAGAGAGGGAGCAACUUGCUGGGCGUCACACAGCACAUCGGCUGCCCCAGGGGAGGGGGUGUUGAAGGACCCAAGAUAUCAUUUUAAAGGAAGCUGUUUUGGGGGGACAGACUGUCUUUCAGAGCGGUUGCAUCAUUUGACGUUCCCACCAGCAACAGAGGAAGGUUCCAGUUUCUCCCCAUCCUCCACAACACUUGUUACUGUCCGUCUUCUCGAUGACAGCCAUCCUGGCAGGUGGGAAGUGGCCAGUCCGGUUGCUAUUAGGUUUGAAAUAUCCAUCACGUCAGCCCACUCAUCGCCAGCCCCGGGCCAACUUGAACAUCUGCCCUGGUCUACCCCCCCUCCAAAGUUCACAAAGUAGGUGGUCAGUUAAUACUUGUUCAAUGAAUGAAUGAAUGGAAUAUUAUGCAGCUGUCAAAAAUGAUGUUACAGAAGAAUGUUUAAUGAGGAGGUCAGCAGAACAACGCCCCCCUCAGCAUCCACAUCCUCAUGCCCGGAACCUGUGACUAUGCUCCCUUCCGUGGCAAAAGGGACUUUGCACAUGAGAGUAAGUUAAAAAUCUGGAGAUGGGGAGAUUAUUUCUCAUUAUCCGGGUGGACCUGAUGUAAUCACAGGGGUCCUCCUAAGAGGGAGGCAAGAGAGUCAAAAUCUAAGAACUGGAAGAAAAUAAAUUUGUGUUGUUUUCGGCCACUGUUUAUGGAAAUUUGUCACAGCAGCCAUAGCGGACGAAUAGAGAAGGUCUUUGCGAUGUCUUACUGUGACAGUGCCCUGCCCAGCCAUCCUGGGUCUGAGACAAAGGGAAAAUGUGUGCCUCUCAAUAUACGCUUUAUGCAAUUUUUUAAUGGUUAACCCCCCCCCCCCCAGUAGAUGGUGAAAUGUUAUCAAUAUGUUUGUUACCAUUAAAGGCAGGCAAGUAAAAUUCUAAUCAGUUCUUAACGUCGUGAAUUUUAAUAUGUCUAGUUUUAAGUUUCAAUAUUUUUUCAACGAUGUUCUGGGGGGGGGAAAUAGUCAUUAAAAGUGCAUUAAAAACAGGUAUA